AGAGUUUGAUCAUGGCUCAGGAUAAACGCUGGCGGCGUGCCUAAAACAUGCAAGUCGAACGGCACACUUCGGUGUGUAGUGGCGAACGGCUGAGUAACACGUGGGUGACCUGCCUUCGAGCGGGGGAUAACUGCCCGAAAGGGUGGCUAAUACCGCAGAUGUCUCGUCUUCGGUGAUGAGACUGAACCGAUUUAGGGUUCGGAGAGGGGCCUGCGUCCGGUUAGCUAGCUGGUGGGGUAACGGCCUACCAGGGCGACGAUCGGUAGCUGGUCUGAGAGGAUGAUCAGCCAGACUGGGACUGCGAGACGGCCCAGACUCCUACGGGAGGCGGCAGUUAGGAAUUUUGGACAAUGGGCGAAAGCCUGACCCAGCAACGCCGCGUGGGUGACGAAGGCCUUCGGGUCGUAAAGCCCUUUUCCCAGGGAAGAUAAUGACGGUACCUGGGGAAUCAGCCCCGGCUAACUACGUGCCAGCAGCCGCGGUAAUACGUAGGGGGCAAGCGUUGUCCGGAUUUAUUGGGCGUAAAGCGCUCGCAGGUGGUUCAUUGCGUCGUGCGUGAAAGACCCCGGCUCAACUGGGGAGGGUCGUGCGAAACGGGUGAACUAGAGGCCAGUAGGGGGAUGUGGAAUUCCGGGUGUAGUGGUGGAAUGCGUAGAGAUCCGGAGGAACACCAGCGGCGAAGGCGGCAUCCUGGACUGGUCCUGACACUCAGGAGCGAAAGCGUGGGGAGCGAUCCGGAUUAGAUACCCGGGUAGUCCACGCUGUAAACGAU
rnacentral:rRNA from 1 species